CUGCUCAAUGCAUUUUUGUAAAUGGCCGCAGUAUUCUGACUGUGCUAAGGUAGCAUAAUCAUUAGUCUCUUAAUUAGAGGCUGGUAUGAAUGGCGAGACGAGAAAAAAGCUGUCUCUAGAAUAACUAUUGAACUUUAUUUUUGAGUGAAAAAGCUUAAAUGUGUUUGGGGGACGAUCAGACCCUUUGGAGCUUUAUUUUGGUAAUACUUUAGGUUAAGUUUAAUGACAAAGGUUGUACUUAAAUUUUGUUGGGGCGACAGAAAGUUAAAAAAUACCACUUUCUUUAAGAAACAUAAAUAUAUGGAAUAAUGAUCCCCUAUGAGGGAUUAAAAGACUAAGUUACCCUAGGGAUAACAGCGUAAUCUUUUUGAAGAGUUCUUAUCGAUAAAAAGGUUUGCGACCUCGAUGUUGGAUUAAGAAAUUAGCAAGGUGCAGAAGUUUUGCUGGAAAGUCUGUUCGACUUU
rnacentral:rRNA from 1 species